GAAUACAAUGUUUUAAGCAUGCUUGUGAUUGAAUUGAAAUAUUGAACGUGUUAUAGCAUUUUAUAUUGUUGUUACUUAGUUUUUUUCCGUCUUUGCUAUAUCGUGUGGGUGGGGCCUAAUUUGUUCUAAUUAUGCAGGAUUUUGGUUCUAUUGCAGCUAUGGUGUUAGAUUUAUAUGUGCCUGAUGAAUGGUUGUUUUGUGUUGUAUGCUACAAUAGGGUCUGGUUGUUGUAGUCUAUGCUUGUUGACAAUGUUGCAACUCUGAUAUAGGGGAUCUUUUGCUAACCUUCAAACCUAUCCCAAAUUUAAACCAACGGACAAAAAGUUGAAUACCGUAAAAGGAUGCGAGAAGAUUAUA